rnacentral:rRNA from 1 species
UACGUAGGGUGCGAGCGUUAAUCGGAAUUACUGGGCGUAAAGCGUGCGCAGGCGGUUCGUUGUGUCGGUGGUGAAAUCCCCGGGCUCAACCCGGGAAGUGCACUCGAAACUGCGAGGCUAGAGUACUGGAGAGGUUGGUGGAAUUCUCGGUGUAGAGGUGAAAUUCGUAGAUAUCGAGAGGAACACCGGUGGCGAAGGCGGCCAACUGGACAGAUACUGACGCUGAGACACGAAAGCGUGGGGAGCAAACAGG